UCACACCUGUGCACACUCCGUAGUUCUAUGGUCUGGGGGACGCACCGUCUUCCUCCUGUGGUUCUACGUCUUUACACAUACACCGUACCAAAGUCUUAGGAAUGUUUACCGCGUCUAACGCAAUACAAUACAACUUUCAGCAACGGAUCUCUUGGCUCUCGCAUCGAUGAAGAACGCAGCGAAAUGCGAUAAGUAAUGUGAAUUGCAGAAUUCAGUGAAUCAUCGAAUCUUUGAACGCACCUUGCGCCCCUUGGCUAUUCCGAGGGGCAUGCCUGUUUGAGUAUCAUGAACACCUCAACUCUUGUGGUUCACCAUAAAGAGCUUGGACUUGGGGGUUUGCUGGCAUACAGCCAGCUCCUCUCAAACAAAUUAGCCUGCCAGUGUUUGGUGGCAUCACGGGUGUGAUAACUAUCUACGCUUGUGGUUGCCUGCCAGGUAACCUUUGGUGACGAAGGUUCGCUGGAGCUUAUAAAUGUCUCUCCUUGGCGAAGACAGCUUUUUGAACGUUCGAUCUCAAAUCAGGUAGGACUACCCGCUGAACUUAAGCAUAUCAAUAAGCGGAGGAAAAGAAACUAACAAGGAUUCCCCUAGUAACUGCGAGUGAAGCGGGAAGAGCUCAAAUUUAAAAUCUGGCUGCCUCUGGUUGCCCGAGUUGUAGUCUGGAAAAGCGUUUUCCGUGCUGGACCGUGUACAAGUCUCCUG
rnacentral:rRNA from 1 species